UACAUAUUACUUUUAUUAAGCGGUUGUAUUGCUUUCUCAUUAUGCAGAAGCUGGCAAGAGAGUGAAGAGGCUACGAAAAAUCCUCAACAUCGAGAGCAAGCCAGAAGAACCAGUAAUUGCUUGCACACAGGUUGACAUUGGUGGCCGGACGCUGAUUGAUAAGAACAUCCUCGAUCAGCUGAGCCAGGCCUGUGACUGUACCAGUGGCCGUGGAAAAUUCGUCAGGGUACUUUUGCACCACGUCUUUACUGAUGGUGGGCUCCACAGCAAGCCGCUGCUUGGGGGAAGAGCUGCCUACGUGGCGAGACGGUUCAAGAGGAGGCCCUCAACACUGUAUGCGUGGAGACCGAUAGGAUACACCUGCUCAGUUUCCGGGAGCCAGUGUUCCGUACAUCAAGAAGAGCCUAUCCUUGCUUCUUUCGUGAUAAAUAAAAUGAAGUAAGACCA